GAUGAACGCUGGCGGCGUGCCUAAUACAUGCAAGUCGAGCGACCGGACGAGAAGCUUGCUUCUCUGAUGUUAGCGGCGGACGGGUGAUUAACACGUGGAUAACCUACCUAUAAGACUGGGAUAACUUCGGGAAACCGUAGCUAAUACCGGAUAAUAUUUUGAACCGCAUGGUUCAAAAGUGAAAGACGGUUUUGCUGUCCCUUAUAGAUGGAUCCGCGCUGCAUUAGCUAGUUGGUAAGGUAACGGCUUACCAAGGCAACGAUGCAUAGCCGACCUGAGAGGGUGAUCGGCCACACUGGAACUGAGACACGGUCCAGACUCCUACGGGAGGCAGCAGUAGGGAAUCUUCCGCAAUGGGCGAAAGCCUGACGGAGCAACGCCGCGUGAGUGAUGAAGGUCUUCGGAUCGUAAAACUCUGUUAUUAGGGAAGAACAUAUGUGUAAGUAACUGUGCACAUCUUGACGGUACCUAAUCAGAAAGCCACGGCUAACUACGUG
rnacentral:rRNA from 1 species